rnacentral:rRNA from 1 species
UACGGAGGGUGCGAGCGUUGUCCGGAAUCACUGGGCGUAAAGGGCGCGUAGGCGGCGCGGAUAGUCGGCGGUGAAAGCCCGGAGCUCAACUCCGGGUCGGCCGUCGAUACUUCCGGGCUUGAGCACUGUAGAGGCAGAUGGAAUUCCGGGUGUAGCGGUGGAAUGCGUAGAGAUGUGGAGGAACACCAGUGGCGAAGGCGACUCUUUGGCCUGUAACUGACGCUGAGGCGCGAAAGCGUGGGGAGCAAACAGG